rnacentral:rRNA from 1 species
CGUAACACGUACGCAAUCUACCCACUACAGGGGGAAUAGUACCCCAGGGGAAACUUGGAUUAAUACCCCAUAUUAUAUAGAGUUGGCAUCAACUUUAUAUCAAAGCUUCGGCGGUAGUGGAUGAGCGUGCGGUUGAUUAGAUAGUUGGCGGGGUAACGGCCCACCAAGUCUACGAUCAAUAGCUGAUGUGAGAGCAUGAUCAGCCACACGGGGCACUGAGACACGGGCCCGACUCCUACGGGAGGCAGCAGUAAGGAAUAUUGGGCAAUGGACGCAAGUCUGACCCAGCCAUGCCGCGUGAAGGAUGAAGGUCCUCUGGAUUGUAAACUUCUUUUAUCUGGGGCGAAAACAACGUCUUUCUAGAGUUCUUGACAGUACCAGAGGAAUAAGCACCGGCUAACUCCGUG